UACUGAUCUAUUGAGUUGGUCUAUUAACUUCAAUUUUAGCUCAUAGUUUGCAUAGACAUUUAUACCAGCAAGCUUAUGUCCUCAAGAACAGGUAUGGCUUUCUUUUUCGAAGAUCAUGUGUAAUCGGUGGUCAUGUACUCAAA